GACCCCCCCCCAACCUUGGCAAAAUCAGCUGAGCGAUUGAAAGUGUCAGAGCAGGGGACCCAAGGGGACAUUUUCUCAGGGGACCCAAGGCGGCAUUUUCUCAGGGGGCCCAAGGCGACAUUUUCUCAGGGGGCCCAAGGCGGCAUUUUCUCAGGGGGCCCAAGGCAGCAUUUUCUCAGGGGGCCCAAGGUGACAUUUUCUCAGGGGGCCCAAGGCGACAUUUUCUCAGGGGGCCCAAGGCAGCAUUUUCUCAGGGGGCCCAAGGUGACAUUUUCUCAGGGGGCCCAAGGUGACAUUUUCUCAGGGGGCCCAAGGGGACAUUUU